CUACGGGUCGCACCAGUGGGGAAUAUUGCACAAUGGGCGCAAGCCUGAUGCAGCCAUGCCGCGUGUAUGAAGAAGGCCUUCGGGUUGUAAAGUACUUUCAGCGGGGAGGAAGGGAGUAAAGUUAAUACCUUUGCUCAUUGACGUUACCCGCAGAAGAAGCACCGGCUAAAUCCGUGCCAGCAGCCGCGGUAAUACGGAGGGUGCAAGCGUUAAUCGGAAUUACUGGGCGUAAAGCGCACGCAGGCGGUUUGUUAAGUCAGAUGUGAAAUCCCCGGGCUCAACCUGGGAACUGCAUCUGAUACUGGCGAGCUUGAGUCUCGUAGAGGGGGGUAGAAUUCCAGGUGUAGCGGUGAAAUGCGUAGAGAUCUGGAGGAAUACCGGUGGCGAAGGCGGCCCCCCGGACGAAGACUGACGCUCGGGUGCGAAAGCGUGGGGAGCAAACAGGAUUAGAUACCCUUGUAGUC
rnacentral:rRNA from 1 species